GACAGAGGGUGCAAACGUUGCUCGGAAUUAUUGGGCGUAAAGAGCGUGUAGGCGGUUCGGUAAGUCUGCCGUGAAAACCUGGGGGCUCAACCCCGGGCCUGCACCCGAUACUGGCGGGCUGGAGGCAGGUAGGGGAGAUCGGAAUUCCCGGUGUAGCGGUGAAAUGCGCAGAUAUCGGGAGGAACACCGGUGGCGAAGGCAGCUCGCUGGGACGGUACUGACGCUGAGACGCGAAAGCGUGGGGAGCGAACAGGG
rnacentral:rRNA from 1 species